UACGGGAGGCAGCAGUGAGGAAUAUUGGUCAAUGGACGAUGGUCUGAACCAGCCAAGUCGCGUGCGGGACGAAGGCCCUCCGGGUCGUAAACCGCUUUAGCCGGGGAGUAACGUGCAGGACGUGUCCUGCAGUGAGAGUNACCCGGAGAAUAAGCAUCGGCUAACUCCGUGCCAGCAGCCGCGGUAAU
rnacentral:rRNA from 1 species